UACGAAGGGGGCUAGCGUUGCUCGGAAUUACUGGGCGUAAAGCGCACGUAGGCGGUCUUUUAAGUCGGGGGUGAAAUCCUGGAGCUCAACUCCAGAACUGCCUUCGAUACUGGAAGACUUGAGUCCGGGAGAGGUGAGUGGAACUGCGAGUGUAGAGGUGAAAUUCGUAGAUAUUCGCAAGAACACCAGUGGCGAAGGCGGCUCAUUGGCCCGGUACUGACGCUGAGGUGCGAAAGCGUGGGGAGCAAACAGG
rnacentral:rRNA from 1 species